UUUCCUCUUUCUGCAUUAUUAUAAGGUAUGUUCCUAUCAGUUUAAUCCCUGUUAUGUCCCCUAUCAGGGGACGUGUAUAUGUCAUCGAUUUUAGGAAGAGGGAGAUGGAAAAAGAUUGGUCGGUCCUCCUACUUCAAAUUUGGGGCACUGCGCGUGCCACCAGAUAAUGUGC